rnacentral:rRNA from 1 species
GACAGAGGGUGCAAACGUUGUUCGGAAUUACUGGGCGUAAAGCGCGUGUAGGCGGCUAAGUAAGUCGGGCGUGAAAUCCCACGGCUCAACCGUGGAAGUGCACUCGAAACUGCGUAGCUAGAGUCCUGGAGAGGAAGGUGGAAUGCUUGGUGUAGAGGUGAAAUUCGUAGAUAUCAAGCGGAACACCGGUGGCGAAGGACGGCGCUCUGGACCGAGACUGACGCUGAGGCGCGAAAGCGUGGGGAGCAAACGGG